UUAGCAUAAGUAGAAUAUAAGACAGCACAAUCACAGUAUAUCUGUUCUUAUCAGCUUAAUAUCUGAUACGUUUCCCAUUGGGAAACCAGAAUAUUAAACUGAUUUUUGGAACUUGGCGGAGUGACUGGGGCUUGCUCCGACUCUGCCGCGGGUUAGCCUAGUAUCGCAGUACAUCUAGGAGCGGCCCACACAUG